GGGUCUUUCUGCCCUGCUCCCCAGCCUCCUCCCGGGCUAGCAAUACACAUACCUCUUCCUUGACAGACGGAAAUCCAGAACAAGUUUUUUCCUUAGUAUUCUCAACUAUUAAGCGGAAAUAAUCUCAUUUCCACAGAUGCUCUUCAGUACCAGUAUAAAGAAAGUAUGAAGAAUGAGCGUGAUUAAAACAAAAACAAAACUGUGGAGCUUAUUAUGCAUGCUCUAUCAUAGCACGGACAACAUACGAUAAAUUCCUGUUUUCAUGAACGAAUGAAUCUUCCUCUGUCCAUCUGGCUCUCAGCCUGGCCCUCAAAUAAAAAAUACCUCAAGUAUCCAUCUACACUUGCUGUCCUGCUCUGAGGAAAUGCAGUUCUAAAGAAGAGAGACCGCAGAAAUCACAGAGGGAAGAGAUGAGGGGAAAAUCAAUUUGGUGCAGUUUUCACAAACCUUUAAAAUAGGGCGAUUUAAGUGAUGAUGGGGUUUCAUGACCAGCGGCGGCUCUGAAGGGAAUGCUCACGUCUCCUGGCAUUUCUCUGAGUAGGUGGGAAAGGAAGGAAAAUGGUUUUUUUCCUCCCCUUCUACUUAGAAGAAAAUGGAGGCAAUGAAAAGCAAACGUCUCCCAUAAUGUCCCAUUACGGAGGACAAAUGAAAUGCUGCUCCCUGUAGCUCCUCAGCCAGGCUCUGGGCAGGCCUUCUCCUCCAAGCUCCAGAAACUAAGUAUUCCCCAACACACCUGGCACUGCUGUUACCAUGGUGACACUUUUGUAUUACCCUCACCUUUUGUGUUCCUUAACUUGGGGGCGGAGGCUGGUGCAGGGCACAGUUGAGUUUUCAUAUUUCUCCCCGGCUUCUGUAAAAUGGAAGAAGAGAAGAGGGGACAGGAUCCUGAUCUCCUCUGCCUGCUUCCUUGGCUCCUUGUUUCUCCGUUCCUCUACUAGACCUCACUGGCCAAGGCACCUAGAAUGGAGGCAGAGGAUGGAUGGAAAAAGCUUUGAUGGAGCCCAAUAGACCUGGGUUCAAAUUUGCAACUC